GUGACUCACGUCAACACCCAGGACCACCAAUCAGAUCCACCGUGUCGCAAUGAAAGAUUUGCACGACGGGGACGAGUACUAGCGUCGUGUGUGUUUUCACUUGACGAAGGACUGAAGUGUGCGCGCCAUCGGCCGCUGCCUGCGCGCUCAUCACCUGGAGUCCAGCGGCCAGAGUUCACAGACGCGCGGUGAGCCCGAGGCAAUGUGGCAACGACGUUACGCAAGGUUCGGUGAAAGGUGAAAACCAGCGGUUCGUUUUCUCGUUUGGAGCCGUCACACGCAUUCUGGAAAGGUUGCUGUACAUGUUUGGCUGGUCAACCUAUGGAGCAGGCUCGGCUCUCAGCUCCUGCCUGUCCAGCGACUGGGUGGAGGAGCAGCUCUGUAGGACCAUGAUGGGUGGGUUGGAGACAGUGGCUCUGACUCCCAGAGCAAGAGCUAGAAGCGGCCCCCAGCUGACUCAAGGACAUGACCUCAACAUGAGGACCAACGUCAAAAUUGCAACCCAUUCUGACCACAAAUCAACACGUUUCAUGGAUGCAACUUGUUUUUGUCACGUAUAAAUAUUCAACGUUGAA